ensembl:lncRNA
GGAGGCCAGACCCUUCAAGAAGCCCAGCCUAGCAUCUUACUGAGACACCCAGGCCUCCCCAUGGGAGGUGUGCUUCUUUGUCGCAGCACCUGCGAAUGGCACCAAAGGAGACAUUGUUUCAUCGCUCCCCAUAGCAUCCAGCCUUACCUGUGGAAAUUUGUACAGUUCUAGCAGUCUUCCAAUCUGGGCAGAAAUUGACUGUUGUGUUCCUGUAAGUGUUGCUACAGACUUGCUCUCUCUCCUACAGGUGUAAUUAGGGAGGUCCUUGUCCACCCCUGAGAGCCAAAUGAAGGAACUCUCCAAUGUCCUCUAUUCACUGUGCAGAGCUUCAUAGAGAUCAAACCCCAGAAACGUGUUGGGUAAAAGAUGGGAGUUUCUGUUAAUUUCCUCAAUGGCAAAAACCAAGGCCAGAUCAUACUGGUAGUUCUUGUAGUGAAACCUGCAUGGAGGGCUAGGGAUCCUUGGGAAAAGACUCAAACCAGGAUUAUCAUCAAAUCCAAUACAGUGACUUAAUUAAGGGUGAAUGCCCAGUCAACUCAUUCUAUCUGUGUCAACAGCUGGCUCUCCUGAAGCCUUAGAAUUUACAGCGAAAGCAAAUCACCUAACUUACGCUCUGCAAAGACGUUAAUGAAUUACACACAUGUGGAGAAAAAUUAUUCAGUUUACAAAGGAAAGUAUAAUGAAUGGAAAAGCAGGUCACAUUCAAAGUAGGUUUUGGAAAUGAUUCUUUGAUUCAAGAACCAAAUGCUUGUUCAUAUGAACACAUCAUUAAAUGCUUCAUAGAACAGUAACAAUAUUAACAUGAGAUUGGAGACAGCCCUGGGGAGGAAGAGGAAUUCUGACUUAAGGUUAGGGGGUAAGCAGAGAAGCAUGACAUCUGUGGGUUGAGAGUGGUGCAGCAGAAGGCUGGCAAUCAAAUUGCCUAAGCUUCUGCCUCAUCAAACUUGUGUCUCCGCCACCAUCAAUAAUCGGCAAGCUAAGAGGAACUUCAGAGCUUCCUGACGAGGAAUCAUCAAACGGCAGGAACAUUUGGGAAAAGCAUGAAGGACUGAAAGGACUGGAAAUGCUUCAGAAUCUAAGAGACACAGCAUUGUAAAUUUUAAAAAAUGAAAAUGUAAUUAUCAAAACUGACUCAAAUAUAAAAUAAAGAGAGAAAAUUAUACAACAGUUGCUACAUAGUUUCAAGAGAAUGUUUAAGAAAUAAAAUUCCUUGGGGCUGGCCCCAUGGCCGAGUGGUUAAGUUCACGCGCUCUGCUUCAGCGACCCAGGAUUUCGCCAGUUCAGAUCCUGGGUGCAGAGAUGGCACCGUUCAUCAGGUCAUACUGAGGCGGCGUCCCACAUAGCACAGCCAGAGGUACUCACAAAUAGAAUAUACAACUAUGUACUGGGGGGCUUUGGGGAGAAGAAAAAAAAAGAAGAUUGGCAACAGUUGUUAGCUCAGGUGCCAAUCUUAAAAAAAAAAAAAAAAAAAUGUAAUUAAAAAAAAGAAAUAAAGGGGCUGGCCCCGUGGCUGAGUGGUUAAGUUCGCGCGCUCCGCUGCAGGCAGCCCAGUGUUUCGUUGGUUCGAAUCCUGGGCGCGGACAUGGCAGUGCUCAUCAGACCAUGCUGAGGCAGCGUCCCACAUGCCACAACUAGAAGAACCCACAACGAAGAAUAUACAACUAUGUACCGGGGGGCUUUGGGGAGAAAAAGGAAAUAAUAAAAUCUUUAAAAAAAAAAAAAAAAAGAAAGAAAAGAAAUAAAAUUCCAAAAAUACACCAGGCCUUGAUGAAUUUACAUGAGCUGUCACAUGUGAGCCAACCUGCCCAGGCACAAGGUACUCUGAGCUGGUGUGAGUGGAGAGCAGAGGACAGGAACACAUUUAGCCUCUCCUCCUACAAUGAGAUACAAACUCCCUGUCCACCAUCCAGGUGCCUGAAGCUGUGGGGACGUGUGAGUUGAACUGGCCUUCUGCCCCCGGGAGAUUCAGGCCAGACCUUGCC